rnacentral:rRNA from 1 species
UACGUAGGGGGCAAGCGUUGUCCGGAUUUAUUGGAGCGUAAAGGGCGUGUAGGCGGUUUGGUAGGUCCGCUGUGAAAACUCGAGGCUCAACCUCGAGACGCCGGUGGAAACCAUCAGACUAGAGUCCGGAAGAGGAGAGUGGAAUUCCUGGUGUAGCGGUGAAAUGCGCAGAUAUCAGGAAGAACACCCGUGGCUAAGGCGGCUCUCUAGUACGGUACUGACGCUGAGACGCGAAAGCGUGGGAGCGAACAGG